GACGAACGCUGGCGGCGUGCUUAACACAUGCAAGUCGAACGGAAAGGCCCCUUUGGGGGUACUCGAGUGGCGAACGGGUGAGUAACACGUGAGUAACCGGCCCUUGACGUGGGGAUAACUUCAGGAAACUGGGGCUAAUACCGGAUAGGAAUCCUUGCGUCAGGGUGGGGGUUGGAAAGCUUCUGCGGUUUUGGAUGGAUGCGCGGCUUAUCAGCUUGUUGGUGGGGUAGUGGCUUACCAAGGCUUUGACGGGUAGCCGGCCUGAGAGGGCGACCGGCCACAUUGGGACUGAGAUACGGCCCAGACGCCGACGGGAGGCAGCAGUGGGGAAUAUUGAACCAUGGGCGGAAGACUGAUGCAGCAACGCCGCGGGCGGGAUGACGGCCUUCGGGUUGUCAACCGCUUUCAGCCGGAGCGAAGCUUGUGGUGACGGUACCUGAAGAAGAAGCACCGGCUAACUACGUG
rnacentral:rRNA from 1 species